AUCGGGGAAGGAUUGGCCCGCGUUGGAUUAGCUAGUUGGUGGGGUAAAGGCCUACCAAGRCGACGAUCCAUAGCUGGUCUGAGAGGAUGAUCAGCCACAUUGGGACUGAGACACGGCCCAAACUCCUACGGKAGGCAGCAGUGGGGAAUAUUGGACAAUGGGCGCAAGCCUGAUCCASCCAUGCCGCGUGAGUGAUGAAGGCCUUAGGGUUGUAAAGCUCUUUCACCGSAGAAGAUAAUGACGGUAUCCGGAGAAGAAGCCCCGGCUAACUUCGUGCCAGCAGCCGCGGUAAUACGAAGGGGGCUAGCGUUGUUCGGAAUUACUGGGCGUAAAGCGCACGUAGGCGGAUAUUUAAGUCAGGGGUGAAAUCCCAGAGCUCAACUCUGGAACUGCCUUUGAUACUGGGUAUCUUGAGUAUGGAAGAGGUAAGUGGAAUUCCGAGUGUAGAGGUGAAAUUCGUAGAUAUUCGGAGGAACACCAGUGGCGAAGGCGGCUUACUGGUCCAUUACUGACG
rnacentral:rRNA from 1 species